AAUAGAUACCCGGGUAGUCCACCCCGUAAACGUUGGGAACUAGUUGUGGGGUCCAUUCCACGGAUUCCGUGACGCAGCUAACGCAUUAAGUUCCCCGCCCGGGGAGUACGGCCGCAAGGCUAAAACUCAAAGGAAUUGACGGGGACCCGCACAAGCGGCGGAGCAUGCGGAUUAAUUCGAUGCAACGCGAAGAACCUUACCAAGGCUUGACAUAUACGAGAACGGGCCAGAAAUAGUCAACUCUCUGGACACUCGUAAACAGGUGGUGCAUGGUUGUCGUCAGCUCGUGUCGUGAGAUGUUGGGUUAAGUCCCGCAACGAGCGCAACCCUCGUUCUAUGUUGCCAGCACGUAAUGGUGGGAACUCAUGGGAUACUGCCGGGGUCAACUCGGAGGAAGGUGGGGAUGACGUCAAAUCAUCAUGCCCCUUAUGUCUUGGGCUUCACGCAUGCUACAAUGGCCGGUACAAAGGGCUGCAAUACCGCGAGGUGGAGCGAAUCCCAAAAAGCCGGUCCCAGUUCGGAUUGAGGUCUGCAACUCGACCUCA
rnacentral:rRNA from 1 species